CCUACGGGAGGCAGCAGUGGGGAAUUUUCCGCAAUGGGCGAAAGCCUGACGGAGCAACGCCGCGUGAGGGAUGAAGGCCUCUGGGCUGUAAACCUCUUUUAUCAAGGAAGAAGAUCUGACGGUACUUGAUGAAUAAGCCACGGCUAAUUCCGUGCCAGCAGCCGCGGUAAUACGGGAGUGGCAAGCGUUAUCCGGAAUUAUUGGGCGUAAAGCGUCCGCAGGCGGUCUUGUAAGUCUGUCGUUAAAGCGUGGAGCUUAACUCCAUUUCGGCGGUGGAAACUACAAGACUAGAGUGUGGUAGGGGCAGAGGGAAUUCCCGGUGUAGCGGUGAAAUGCGUAGAUAUCGGGAAGAACACCAGUGGCGAAGGCGCUCUGCUGGGCCAUAACUGACGCUCAUGGACGAAAGCUAGGGGAGCGAAAGGGAUUAGAUACCCCUGUAGUCCUAGCCGUAAACGAUGAACACUAGGUGUCGGGGGAAUCGACCCCCUCGGUGUCGUAGCUAACGCGUUAAGUGUUCCGCCUGGGGAGUACGCACGCAAGUGUGAAACUCAAAGGAAUUGACGGCUGNGACGNGCGACGACGACGACGAGGGAGGAGG
rnacentral:rRNA from 1 species